AUUGAACGCUGGCGGCAGGCCUAACACAUGCAAGUCGAACGAGUGGCGGACGGGUGAGUAAUGUCUGGAAAACUGCCUGAUGGAGGGGGAUAACUACUGGAAACGGUCUCUUAUACCGCAUAACCUCAGCUGCGCCGAGAUGGGAUUCGCUUGUUGGUGGGGUAACGGCUCACCAAGGAGACGAUCCCUAGCUGGUCUGAGAGGAUGACCAGCCACACUGGAACUGAGACACGGUCCAGACUCCUACGGGAGGCAGCAGUGGGGAAUAUUGCACAAUGGGCGCAAGCCUGAUGCAGCCAUGCCGCGUGUAUGAAGAAGGCCUUCGGGUUGUAAAGUACUUUCAGCGGGGAGGCGUUACCCGCAGAAGAAGCACCGGCUAACUCCGUGCCAGCAGCCGCGGUAAUUC
rnacentral:rRNA from 1 species